UACAAAUAGCAUUUCCCACACAGUAAAGCUAUUCGUACCCAAAAAUGAAAAAGAGCAAACUGCGCAUGUCUACCAACGACUGCUCCGCUGUAGGGCGGAGUUGCAGAAAAGGCGCCACUUCGAAGUUCGAACACUUUCAGCCAAAGCUCUUUGGUGAACGACAAUGAAGAAAUCCCUCCUGAAACGACGUUCAGAGGAAGAAAGACCCAAGACAGUUUGUGUAGGAAAGUCCUUCGACAGUUAUGAGGAAUUCCAGAGAGCAGUGAGGUUAUGGAGUGCAGAGGG